UUUCUGGUUGUAGAUAUUUCCUUACAAUUGUUGAUGAUUUUUCUAGGGCAACAUGGACACACUUAAUGGGAUCCAAAAGCAAUGCUUUUUCUAUGCCUAAGUCAUUCCUUUCUUUGGUUAAAACCCAAUUCAAUGUUGUAGUUCAAACUGUUAGAAGUGACAAUGCCUUAGAAUUGGGAUCCAGCAUAGAGGGAACUUCUUUCUUUAGUAGUCAGGGGAUAAUACAUCAAACCACCUGCUCUCAUACCCCUCAACAGAAUGGUGUUGUUGAGAGGAAGCAUAGAACCCUUCUUGAAACCUGUAGAGCUUUGCUUUUUCAAUCUGGCUUGCCUGUAUCUUUCUGAGGGGGCUGUUUGUUGACUGCCACCUACCUCCUUAACAGAAUACCCACCAGAUUACUUCACAAUAAAUCUCCUCAUGACUGGCCUGCCUAUAUCUUUCUGGGGGGACUGUUUGUUGACUGCCACCUACCUACUUAACAGAAUACCCACCAGAUUACUUCACAAUAAAUCUCCUCAUGAAGUCUUGUAUGGGAAAGUUCCAACCUAUACUCACUUGAGGACAUUUNN
rnacentral:lncRNA from 1 species